UGGCUUAAACGGGAACAUAUAUAAAGACAGCAGCUACCAACCUGGAAGUGUUGGAGGAGCGCAAAAACCUCUUAGAAGUGCUCUGCCAUAAGCUUCUUCUCCAUUGGCUCCUUACCAAAUCCGUCAAAGUUUUUCUUCGAUCGUUUCCAGCCUCAGGAGGAGGUGAAAGCGGGGAGAUGGCUCACAGACUGGAUCAUGAGUACGAUUACCUCUUCAAGAUCGUUCUGAUAGGCGAUUCCGGAGUUGGGAAAUCGAACAUACUCUCCAGAUUUACUCGGAACGAGUUCUGCCUGGAAUCGAAAUCCACGAUCGGUGUAGAGUUCGCCACGAGAACGCUUCAGGUAUGG